UCUGGUUGAUCCCGCCAGAGGUCAUUGCUAUCCGGUUUCUACUUAGCCAUGCGAGUCCAGAGUGGUUAUGCACUCGGCGAACUGCUCCGUAAUAUGCAGUCAACCUACCCUCAGCAAGGAGAUAAUCCCGGGAAACUGGGGCUAAUAUCCUAUAGGUGUUGGGUACUGGAAUGUCCUGACAUUUAAAGCUCAGGCGGCUAAGGAUGGGACUGCACAUGAUUAGGCUGUUGUUGGUGUAAUGAACCAACAAACCGAUAAUCAUUACGAGCUAUGGAAGUAGGAACUCGGAGAUGGAUUCUGAGACAUGAAUCCAGGUACUACGGUACGCAGCAGGCGAGAAACCUUUUCAAUUCGCUAGCGCGAGAAAAGGGGAACCGGAGUGCUCUUGCUCUGCAAGAGCUUUUGCUUUCUGCAAAAAGGAAGGCGAAUAAGGAGUGGGUAAGACGGGUGCCAGCCACCGCGGUAAUACCCGCACUCCAAGUGAUGACCACGAUUAUUGGGCCUAAAGAGCUCGUAGCCGGUUUGGUAAGUCCUUGGUGAAAUCUUCCAGCAAACUGGAAGGCGUGCUGAGGAUACUGCCAGACUUGAGACCGGGAUGGGACAGGGGUACUUUUAGGGUAGGGGUGAAAUCCUGUAAUCCUAAGGGGACCACCUUUGGCGAAGGCGCCUGUCUGGAACGGGUCUGACGGUGAGGUGCGAAAGCUAGGGGAGCAAUCGGGAUUAGAUACCCCGGUAGUCCUAGCCGUAAACGUUGCCCUCUUGGUGUUGCAAGCUUCUCGGGAGCUUGCUGUGCCGGAGCGUAGGUGUUAAGAGGGCCGCCUGGGGAGUAUACUCGCAAGGGUGAAACUUAAGGGAAUUGGCGGGGGAACACACAAGGGGUGGGCGUUGCGGUUCAAUUAGAUUCAACGCUGGAAAUCUUACCAGUGCCGACAGCAGGGUGAGGGUCAGUCUGAAGGGCUUACCUGACAAGCUGAGAGGUGGUACAUGGCCAUCGCCAGCUCGUAUCGUGAGGCGUGCGCUUAAGUGCGUUAACGAGCGAGACCCACGUCCAAUGUUGCUAACUUUCUCUUUGGAGGAGGUGCACUCAUUGGAGACCGCUGGUGAUAAACCAGAGGAAGGUGUGGGCGACGGUAGGUCCGUAUGCCCCAAAUGCACUGGGCCACACGCGACGCACAAUGCGUGCCACAAUGGGAUGCAACUCCGAAAGGAGACGCGAAACCCCUAAAAGCACGCUCAGUUCGGAUCGAGGGCUGUAACUCGUCCUCGUGAAGCCGGAAUCCCUAGUAAGCGAACGUCAUCAUCGUUCGCUGAAUACGUCCCUGUUCCUUGCACACACCGCCCGUCAAGCCAAUCGAGCGGAAUUUCAUCGAGGCUUUGCCUCAUUGACAGUGUCGAGUUGAAGUUCUGUAAGAGGGGCUAAGUCGCCACAAGGUA
rnacentral:rRNA from 1 species